UUAUUACUUUGGCAGAUUAGUGCAAUGAAUUUAGAAUUCAAAAAUAUAAUUUUUAUUAUAAGUA
rnacentral:tRNA from 1 species